rnacentral:misc_RNA from 1 species
GAGAACAACUACAUGUUCCACAUACUUCUCUUCGAGAAGCCCUCCUAAAGGAGGCUCAUUCAGGAGGCUUGGCAGGACAUCUUGGCCAAGACAAAAUUUUUGACGUAGUAUCAAGCUGAUCUUAUUGGUCACGAAUUCGGAAGGAUACAAAUAAUUUUGUUAAAAGAUGCUCCAUUUGCCAAAGAGCCAAAGGAACUAGCAC